rnacentral:tRNA from 1 species
GACCCCGUAGCUCAGGUGGAUAGAGCAGGAGUUUCCUAAACUCUUGGUCGGAGGUUCGAGUCCUCUCGGGGUCACCA